GAGCGUUCUAAGGGCGUUGAAGCAUGAUCGUAAGGACAUGUGGAGCGCUUAGAAGUGAGAAUGCCGGUGUGAGUAGCGAAAGACGGGUGAGAAUCCCGUCCACCGAUUGACUAAGGUUUCCAGAGGAAGGCUCGUCCGCUCUGGGUUAGUCGGGUCCUAAGCUGAGGCCGACAGGCGUAGGCGAUGGAUAACAGGUUGAUAUUCCUGUACCACCUAUAAUCGUUUUAAUCGAUGGGGGGACGCAGUAGGAUAGGCGAAGCGUGCGAUUGGAUUGCACGUCUAAGCAGUAAGGCUGAGUAUUAGGCAAAUCCGGUACUCGUUAAGGCUGAGCUGUGAUGGGGAGAAGACAUUGUGUCUUCGAGUCGUUGAUUUCACACUGCCGAGAAAAGCCUCUAGAUAGAAAAUAGGUGCCCGUACCGCAAACCGACACAGGUAGUCAAGAUGAGAAUUCUAAGGUGAGCGAGCGAACUCUCGUUAAGGAACUCGGCAAAAUGACCCCGUAACUUCGGGAGAAGGGGUGCUCUUUAGGGUUAACGCCCAGAAGAGCCGCAGUGAAUAGGCCCAAGCGACUGUUUAUCAAAAACACAGGUCUCUGCUAAACCGUAAGGUGAUGUAUAGGGGCUGACGCCUGCCCGGUGCUGGAAG
rnacentral:rRNA from 1 species